GUAAAGAAUCUUCCGCAAUGGGCGCAAGCCUGACGGAGCAACACUGCGUGGAGGAUGAAGGCUUUCGGGUCGUAAACUCCUUUUCUGGGGGAAGAAGUUCUGACGGUACCCCAGGAAUAAGCGACGGCAAACUACGUGCCAGCAGCCGCGGUAAUACGUAGGUCGCAAGCGUUAUCCGGAAUUAUUGGGCGUAAAGCGUCCGUAUGUGGUUUUGCCAGUCCGUGGUUAAAUCCCAGAGCUCAACUCUGGAAUCGUCAUGGAAACUACAAAACUUGAGUAGUGCAGGGGCAGAUGGAAUUUCCGAAGUAGGGGUAAAAUCCGUAGAUCUCGGAAGGAACACCAAACGCGAAGGCAUUCUGCUGGGCACUUACUGACACUGAGGGACGAAAGCGUGGGGAGCAAACAGGAUUAGAUACCCCUGUAGUCC
rnacentral:rRNA from 1 species